UGCGACGCGCGCCCCGCCACCGCCGUGUUCCGCGUCUCCAGCGACCGAGUGCUGGUGGUAGACAGCGACGAGGACACUGAGCUGUACGGACCACCGCAAUGCUCGCCAUCGAGGAUAGGGCCUGAUGGAAAAUGUGUCUUAUGCCAGAGGCCAUUUGUUACCCCGUAUGUCGUGAUCCAGUGUUCGCAGGUCAACUGUGAGGUAUGCUGGUUACAAUCACUGCGUUUUAAGAAAAUAUGUCCGCAAUGCAGAGCUAUCAGCUUCCCAGACCAUUGUGAAGAAUACACAUGUGAAACAUAGUACUUAUAGAUCAAUGUAUGACUCUAAUGUUUGUUUUAUAUGUUAUUUGUAUAUUAUACAGAUUGUGUACAAGCGAAAAUGAUUAAAUUAAACCACAUACACUACGUACUGUUUGUAAGAAAUAAAACGUUUUAUGGUUAAUAAUUGUUAACUAGUUAAAAAAAAAUACUGAUUAAAUAAAAGUUUUAUUAAUGGUUGAUAAUUUGAAUACGUACUGUUUAUAAGAAUUAAAACGUUUUAUGGUUAAUAAUUGUUAACUAGUUUAAAAAAAAUACUGAUUAAAUAAAAGUUUUAUUAACGAUUGAUAAUUUGAACACAUACUGUUUGUAAGAAUUAAAACGUUUUAUGGUUAAUAAUUGUUAACUAGUUUAAAAAAAAUACUGAUUAAAUAAAAGUUUUAUUAACGAUUGAUAAUUUGAACACAUACUGUUUGUAAGAAAUAAAAUGUUUUAUGGUUAAUAAUUGUUAACUAGUUUAAAAAAAAUACUGAUUAAAUAAAAGUUUUAUCAACGAUUGAUAAUUUGAAUACGUACUGUUUGUAAGAAAUAAAACGUUUUAUGGUUAAUAAUUGUUACUAGUUUUAAAAAAAUACUGAUUAAAUAAAAGUUUUAUAAACGA